UAAAAAAAACAAAACAAAAAAGAUUGCUCCCGGUGAGGCUCGAACUCACGACCUUCAGAUUAUGAGACUGACGCGCUGCCUACUGCGCUACGGAAGCA
rnacentral:tRNA from 1 species